rnacentral:tRNA from 1 species
GCGGGCGUGGCGGAACUGGCAGACGCGCAGGAUUUAGGUUCCUGUUCCUCGGAGUGAGGGUUCGAGUCCCUCCGCCCGCACCC